UUAAUCUGGCAUGUUCUAGAGAAGAGAAGGGUGUCGAGUAAGUAUGUGGAUUUAAUUAAAGAUAUGUAUGGUCUCCUGGUGACUAGUGUGAGAACCGUGGGAGGUCAAGGUAGUGAUUUCCCAAUUACAAUUUGGUUACAUCAAGGAUCAACUUUAAUCCUGUAUCUAUUCGAGCUUAUCAUGAAUGAUGUAACUAGGAACAUUCAAGAUGCGGUGCUCUUGGUGUAUGCUUUUUUGCUGAUGAUAUCGUUCUGGUAGAUGAGACAAAAGUAGGGAUUAACGUAAGUUGGAGUUAUGAAGAUCAACCUUGGAAUCAAGAGGUUAAAUAGAACGAAGACGGAGUAUAUGGUGUGUAACUUUAGCUACACUAAGACGGCUAACGAAAUUGUGAAAAUUGAAGAGAGAUACUGCAAAGUGAUUAUGUUAGAUAUCUGGGUCAAUCAUAAACAAAGAAGGUGACAUAGAGGAUGAUGUAUCACAAAGCAUUAAAGUGGGGUGGAUGAAGUUGAGAGGUGUGUCCGGAGUGCUGUGCAAUCAACAUAUUCCUUUAAAGCUUAAAGGAAAAUUUUAUAGGACAGUUGUACGAUGGACUAUGAUGUAUGGGGC